rnacentral:rRNA from 1 species
GGAAUAUUGGACAAUGGGGGCAACCCUGAUCCAGCAAUACCGCGUGUGUGAAGAAGGCCUGCGGGUUGUAAAGCACUUUCAGUUACGAGGAUGGUAUGUUAGUUAAUAGCUGACAGAUUAGACGUUAGUAACAGAAGAAGCACCGGCUAACUCUGUGCCAGCAGCCGCGGUAAUACAGAGGGUGCAAGCGUUAAUCGGAAUUACUGGGCGUAAAGGGUGCGUAGGUGGUUUAACAAGUCAGGCGUGAAAGCCCUGGGCUCAACCUAGGAAUUGCGUUUGAAACUGUUAGGCUAGAGUAUAGUAGAGGGAAGUGGAAUUUCCGGUGUAGCGGUGAAAUGCGUAGAUAUCGGAAGGAACAUCAGUGGCGAAGGCGACUUUCUGGACUAAUACUGACACUGAGGCACGAAAGCGUGGGGAGCAAAC